UACCAGACUCCUACGGGAGGCAGCAGUGGGGAAUAUUGGGCAAUGGGCGCAAGCCUGACCCAGCAACGCCGCGUGAAGGAAGAAGGCUUUCGGGUUGUAAACUUCUUUUGACAGGGAAGAGCAGAAGACGGUACCUGUCGAAUAAGCCACGGCUAACUACGUGCCAGCAGCCGCGGUAAUACGUAGGUGGCAAGCGUUGUCCGGAUUUACUGGGUGUAAAGGGCGUGUAGCCGGGCUUACAAGUCAGAUGUGAAAUCCGGGGGCUCAACCCCCGAACUGCAUUUGAAACUGUAGGUCUUGAGUAUCGGAGAGGCAGGCGGAAUUCCUAGUGUAGCGGUGAAAUGCGUAGAUAUUAGGAGGAACACCAGUGGCGAAGGCGGCCUGCUGGACGACAACUGACGGUGAGGCGCGAAAGCGUGGGGAGCGAACAGGAUUAGAUACCCCGGUAC
rnacentral:rRNA from 1 species